rnacentral:piRNA from 1 species
UAUUGUUUUCCAAUUUUACAA